ACGGGUGAGUAACACGUGAGUAACCUGCCCUUGACUCUGGGAUAAGCACUGGAAACGGUGUCUAAUACCGGAUACGACCUUCCGCCGCAUGGUGAGGGGGUGGAAAGAAUUUCGGUCAAGGAUGGACUCGCGGCCUAUCAGCUUGUUGGUGAGGUAAUGGCUCACCAAGGCGACGACGGGUAGCCGGCCUGAGAGGGUGACCGGCCACACUGGGACUGAGACACGGCCCAGACUCCUACGGGAGGCAGCAGUGGGGAAUAUUGCACAAUGGGCGAAAGCCUGAUGCAGCAACGCCGCGUGAGGGAUGACGGCCUUCGGGUUGUAAACCUCUUUUAGUAGGGAAGAAGCGAAAGUGACGGUACCUGCAGAAAAAGCACCGGCUAACUACGUGCC
rnacentral:rRNA from 1 species